rnacentral:sRNA from 1 species
GUUUUUAGCUCAUCCUCCCCAAAAUUGCAUAUUUUAUCCCAGUGGUUCUUAAUUCUCAAUAUCCAUAGUCCUGCGCAGAAUCUUAAAGUUUGGUUAAGUGAAACAGAUUUUAGAAUUUAGUGUAUAUCUCAAAGGUCAGAAUUAAGAAAUUGCCAUGUUUCAUCAGGUGGUUUAUGAAAUACCAGCAUGUAGACCCAGAAGAAGCUGUAAGGAUUCACAUUGAUGUCCAAACAAAGAAAUCUAUGGCAAUUCACUGGGGAACUUUUGCCUUAGCAAAUGAGCAUUACUUAGAGCCUCCAGUGAAGCUGAAUGAAGCUCUAGAGAGAUACGGACUUAACGCUGAAGAUUUUUUUGUCUUGAAGCAUGGAGAAUCAAGAUACCUAAAUACUGAUGAUGAAAACUUUUAAUAAAUGUGAGCACAGGCACUUUUAAUGAAAAAGGCAUCAUCUAAGUUUAAAAACAAAUGAAAAGACUUAGAAAUUCAUGAAUAUUGUGACUAUUUUACAUUUGGAAACAACUUCUGCAAGUUUAUGUUUUAUGUUUUGUGUGAUAACUUGCUUCCUAAUAUGAUCAGCUCAUGUACACUAUGAGAGAGUUCAGGGGUGGGUCAUUUAAAUAAUGAAUUGGCUAAUGUGGAUUUUAAAUUUCAUAUCAUGAUAUAAGCACUGCAAUGGAAAUGUUUUUACUAAAGCAUUAUACUUUUGUGGUACUAGAAUUUCCUGAGGUGAAAAACUGAUAUUGAAGACUCAUUUUUCUUUUUUCCAUUCUUCAGGACCUUCAGCAAGGUGAGUCAAGGCUGUCUACCUACCUAGAUUUUUUUCAGAGGCCUACAAAUACAAGUAUCUUUCUUAUAUGCACAUUAUAAUAAAUGAUGAAAUUCAGUCCAACAUGUUUAUUAUAAACAUAGCAAUUCUUGCUCUAUCAAAUUAGCUUAUAUGCCAAAUAUUAAAUAUGGUUUAUUUCGGUAAGCAUAAAAACAUAGGGGCUAUCAUUUUUAAAGACUUGAUUUUCUCUAUUGUGGUAAAAUAUAUAAAUACGUAUUUGCCAUUUUAAACAUUUAUCAUUUUAACCAUUUUUAAGUGUACAGUUCUUUCGCAUUAAUGCACCUAUGACCACCAUUCACUUAAAUUUUUAAAAGACAGAACAGUAUAUUCUUUUUUUCCUAGAGCCUUCAGAUGAGAGGGAACAGUAUAUUCUAUUGCACGUCUACAAUUCCCAAAAGACCUCUUACUUUGGGAAGCCAAGGUGGGUGGAUCACUUGAACCCAGGAGUUUGACAUCAGCCUGGGCAACAUGGUGACCUCCCGUCUCUCUCAAAAAAAAAAAAGAAGAAAAAGCCAAGUGAGGUGGUGUGUACCUGUAGUCACAGGUACUUGGGAGGCUGAGGUGGGAGGAUCACUUGAGCCCAGGAGGUAGAGGUUGCAGUGAGCUGUGAUUGUACCACUGCACUCCAGCCCGAGUGACAAAAUGAGACCCUGUCUCAAAAGAAGGCCCUCUUCUUAGCUGAGCAGAGGAAGGGAAGGAGUGUGGCUAUAAGAAUAUGAUUUAUGCCAUUUUCUGUUUUUAAAUCUAGAAGAUCUUCUAAGCACAAAUAUAGCUACAAUGAAAUAUUUUACAGACAAAAUGUUAAUAGACCAUAUUCUUUGAAUUAAAUUUGUUUUUAAUUUUCUCUACACAUUUUUUUUUCCUGGAGUCUCUUAGCUCUAAAUAUACCAAUCAGAUUUAUAAUUUUUUUUACCUGAUUCAGAUGUCUUAUAUUUUUAUAUUAAAUGAACCUUAAGCAUGAUUCUUUUGGUAAGCCAGUAUGAAUACCAGUGGUUGGGGGGGGAAGUCAGUUGACAUAAGAUUUAGUCCUAAUAAGGACUCUGUAUUCACUUGAUUAUUCUGACCCUUCCUAAGGGAGGGAGUUGGAUUAGAUACCACUGGAGGCCCACUCUGUAUUCCUAAUCCAGUCUCAGCACUUUAUUCAUACAAAAUAAUCAAAAUAGGUUUUCUACACCAAAUGCUACCCAGGCAGUGCUCUAUAAUUUAUUUGCACAUGUGUAUGUGUGGUGCCACGUUAACCACUAAAUCUGAACUUUUACCCUGCUUUCAUCAUGGAUUUUUUGUGUAACCUGAAACAAGUCACCAAUGCUCACUGUGCCUGUUUCCUCAUUUGCAACAAGAGGAUAAUUCCGACCUACCUCUGAAAAAUGUGUAGAAUAAAUGAGUUUUUAAAGCACUUUAGAAAAUAUAAGGGAGAAAAUGAUUUCUUAAGAUAUCACUGCCUAAUAUAGACAGGUAUAUUUGAAAGCUAAAUACAGGUUAAUGCUUUUGAUAAUGUAUUGUUCCUGUUGCAAAUUUAAGCAUUAUAUAUUAGGAGACUAAACAUCGAAAACUUUAUUUCACUGAUUUUUAAAUUGGAGUAAUAGCCUAAAUAAGUGUAAAUAAUCUUUAUCAAAAUUUAGUGUUUAUCUACAAAGAUGCGAAUCAGUCAAGGGGAAAUGUGUAUGCAAUGUGUGUGUAUAUAAUGUAUGUAAAUGUAUAAUUUUGGGGUACUAAAGCACAAAAAAUCCCCCAUAAAAUAAACCUUCCUGAAAAGACUGAUCAUAAACUUUUUCACUCCAAGCAGAUGUGAAUCAAGAUGUUAGGUUUAUGGUGGGUUAGCUUUGAGGUAUGUUGCCCUAAUACUAGCCAGCGUUGUUGUAGCCAUAUUCCUUGCUGCUGCACGCCGAAUUGAAAAUCCAUCUCUUACCUCUUCUCUAUGAAGCAAGCCAGGUAUGUCUUGCUUAAGUAUUUCUUCUCCAUGAAUGGCCUUAACAUUAUUUUGUAUUCAUGUGUACUGUUUAACUGAGGGUCUCGAAGCACUUUAAACUGUUGUGUUCUAUUUCCACUCGUCUGGCCUGCCUCAUUUUUCUAGGCCCUUUCGUAAGCUGUAAUUUUUUAUUACCACUCACGUUCCUUCUACACUGACACUAUUCAUUAAGAACAUCAAGCUUCAUCUCUGCUUACAGAAUCUCACCUUAUUGAGUGGGUUCCACUUUAUUUUUCAUUUGUUAUCUACAUUUUGAAGGGUUUAUGUGCAAAGUGAAAACAAAUUUUGAAAAAUAAGACAAAUCCAUUCUCUUCUUCAAUUCAGUCUAAUAUGCAUUGUAGUGUCUUUUAGUCAGUCUUAUCCUCUAAGUCAACUUGAUUUUCCUCUUUGUGAAUACCCAUAGCAAUAUGUAUAAGAUUUUAUUGAAGUUUCCUGUGAUAACUGAGGAACACUUUGCUAUGCCUCACUGCCCAAUAGGGUGGGUCAUCAAUUAGGAGAAAUCCCAAAUUAUAAAAGCCAACAUAUGCCGUGACCUACGUAGGGAAAGAUGUAUUUGUGCAUCUUCUUUCUGGGUAGUUAAAAAUUACUCCCUCUUUUCUCUAGCAUUUUGACAUUUCAGACUCAAUGCUCUGAUCUCUAGGGAGUGUGAUUAUUCAAACUAAUGAGAGAGGACAAGAAGACACAGUUUUAGAAUCCACUGCUGCUAAAGCACAUUAAAAACAAAUCCUGGUUUUUAAUGUAUGCAUAUUUUCAUAUUUAAUGAAUAUGCUUUCACUAAAUAGGGAGGUAGAUUUGAAAAAACUUAUAAAGAAAUGUGCCUUUUGGGGAAUGAAUACUUUUGUUCAUGUCUAGCCCACUGGGAAUUUUGUUUUCACCUUAUACUGAGCCCUUUUUCUAAUGUAAAAAUAUUUCUUCCAAGUUUGAUUUCUGUAUCAGGGUAACAUUGAGAUCACACAUAUUUCUGUUUGAGGAUUUGUGACUUCCUAUGGAAACAGUCUUUUAUCUAUGUAUUUACAAAUGAAAUUUAAAGUAUUCUUAAAGCUUUGCCUUAAAUACUGCUUGCAUACUGAUUUACUUAAUGCUAAGCAUGGCAGGGGUUAUAAAUUUAAAUAUAUAAGACCUGGCUGAAUCCCAGAUGUAUCAAUAAAUUGUUAUAGUAGCUUAUGGAAUAAAAAUACUAUUAAAGAUAACAAAUUUUCAUACAUUGUAUUUUUAGUCAAGUAAAAUAUGGAUGAAAAUAAAGUACUGUCAAGGGAAAAAAUA